rnacentral:rRNA from 1 species
CCUACGGGGGGCAGCAGUGGGGAAUAUUGGGCAAUGGGCGAAAGCCUGACCCAGCAACGCCGCGUGAAGGAAGAAGGCUUUCGGGUUUUAAACUUCUUUUAAGAGGGAAGAGAAGAAGACGGUACCUCUUGAAUAAGCCACGGCUAACUACGUGCCAUCAGCCGCGGGAAUACGUAGGUGGCAAGCGUUGUCCGGAUUUACUGGGUGAAAAGGGCGUGCAGCGGGGAAGGUAAGUCAGAUGUGAAAUCCCGGGGCUCAACCGCGGAACUGCAUUUGAAACUGUUUUUCUUGAGUACCGGAGAGGUAAUCGGAAUUCCUUGUGUAGCGGUGAAAUGCGUAGAUAUAAGGAAGAACACCAGUGGCGAAGGCGGAUGACUGGACGGCAACUGACGGUGAGGCGCGAAAGCGUGGGGAGCAAACAGGAUUAGAUACCCUGGUAGUC